rnacentral:rRNA from 1 species
UAUUGUGGCCAAACAUCCUUGUCAAAUCCUGAUCUUGUCAUAUCUCAGAAGCUAAUUGGGGCUGGUUAGUAAUUGGAUGGGAGACUGCUGGGAAUACCAGGUGCCAAAGUGG